CCGUUGAUGUAGUAUAGGGGUUAAAACGUCAGAUUGCGACGCUGGCGACCCGGGUUUGAUCCCUGGUCAGAGUG